UACGUAGGGUCCGAGCGUUGUCCGGAAUUACUGGGCGUAAAGCGUGCGCAGGCGGCUUGUCGCGCGCCACGUGAAAGCCCCGGGCUCAACCCGGGAGGGUCGUGGCGAACGGGCAGCUUGAGGCCGGUAGAGGUGGGUGGAACUCCUGGUGGAGUGGUGAAAUGCGCAGAUAUCAGGAAGAACACCCGUGGCUAAGGCGGCUCUCUAGUACGGUACUGACGCUGAGACGCGAAAGCGUGGGGAGCGAACGAGGAU
rnacentral:rRNA from 1 species